UGAGUAAUGUAUAGGAAUCUACCUAGUAGUACGGAAUAAUUGUUGGAAACGGCAACUAAUACCGUAUACGCCCUACGGGGGAAAAAUUUAUUGCUAUUAGAUGAGCCUAUAUUAGAUUAGUUAGUUGGUGAGGUAAAGGCUUACCAAGACAAUGAUCUAUAGCUGAUCUGAGAGGAUGAUCAGCCACACUGGAACUGAGAUACGGUCCAGACUCCUACGGGAGGCAGCAGUGGGGAAUAUUGGACAAUGGGCGAAAGCCUGAUCCAGCCAUGCCGCAUGAGUGAAGAAGGCCUUCGGGUUGUAAAGCUCUUUUAGUGAGGAAGAUAAUGACGGUACUCACAGAAGAAGUCCUGGCUAACUCCGUGCCAGCAGCCGCGGUAAUACGGAGAGGGCUAGCGUUAUUCGGAAUCAUUGGGCGUAAAGGGCGCGUAGGCGGGUUAGUAAGUUAAAAGUGAAAUCCCAAGGCUCAACCUUGGAACUGCUUUUAAAACUGCUAGUCUAGAGAUUGAAAGAGGAUAGAGGAAUUCCUAGUGUAGAGAUGAAAUUCGUAAAUAUUAGGAGGAA
rnacentral:rRNA from 2 species